rnacentral:tRNA from 1 species
CCUGGUGGCUCAGUUGGUAAAGCGUCUGCCUGCAAUUCAGGAGACCCGGGCUCGAUUCCUGGGUCAGGA